UGAGGAAUAUUGGUCAAUGGGCGGAAGCUUGAACCAGCCAUCCCGCGUGCAGGAAGACAGCCCUAUGGGUUGUAAACUGCUUUUCCAGUGGGCGAAACACUCGUACGUGUACGAGAUUGACGGUACACUGGGAAUAAGCAUCGGCUAACUCCGUGCCAGCAGCCGCGGUAAUACGGAGGAUGCAAGCGUUAUCCGGAUUUAUUGGGUUUAAAGGGUGCGUAGGCGGAUGAAUAAGUCAGUGGUGAAAGGCUGCAGCUUAACUGUAGACUUGCCGUUGAUACUGUUUAUCUUGAGUAUGGUCAAGGCAGGCGGAAUGUGUAAUGUAGCGGUGAAAUGCUUAGAUAUUACACAGAACACCGAUUGCGAAGGCAGCUUGCUGGGCCAUUACUGACGCUGAUGCACGAAAGCGUGGGGAGCGAACAGG
rnacentral:rRNA from 1 species